GACGAACGCUGGCGGCGUGCUUAACACAUGCAAGUCGAACGGAAAGGCCCUGCUUUUGUGGGGUUCUCGAGUGGCGAACGGGUGAGUAACACGUGAGUAACCUGCCCUUGACUUUGGGAUAACUUCAGGAAACUGGGGCUAAUACCGGAUAGGAGCUCCUGCUCCAUGGUGGGGGUUGGAAAGUUUCGGCGGUUGGGGAUGGACUCGCGGCUUAUCAGCUUGUUGGUGGGGUAGUGGCUUACCAAGGCUUUGACGGGUAGCCGGCCUGAGAGGGGGAACGGCCACAUUGGGACUGAGAUACGGCCCAGACGGCUACGGGAGGCAGCAGUGGGGAAUAUUGCACAAUGGGCGGAAGCCUGAUGCAGCAACGCCGCGUGCGGGAUGACGGCCUUCGGGUUGUAAAACGCUUUCGCCUGUGACGAAGCGUGAGUGACGGUAAUGGGUAAAGAAGCACCGGCUAACUACGUG
rnacentral:rRNA from 1 species